AAAUGGAGUGCCUGAAUAAAAGGAUUAUUUUGAUAGAAUAAAUUAUGUAAUUAAUUUACCUUCAUU
rnacentral:tRNA from 1 species